CGAUACGGGACGUUGGAAGCAAACCUGACGAAAACAGGGGAUAUCUUUGAGGCGUGCUGUCGUCGAAAUUAUACGCUUUCAAUUGUGCCGGGAAGUUGCAACGAGCACGCGUAGCUUUAAGUUAUAAUGUUUUAUACGGGGGAUAUUUCUCUGGAAGUUGAGGACUGCUGCUAUCACGGUACUACCUUAAGUGAAUACCUGUACAUACAAACGAUGAGAAUGUAGGCUCUCGGCGACAUAGGUCGAAACGGAAAACUGUCGAUUAAUCUACGUUUCGGCCCUUUGAAGAGGGCCCUCCUCGGAAGAUAAUAAUAUAUUUAUAAAGACGUAUUUAACAAGAGGCUUUCCCUGCCACCGAUAUUUUACUGAAACCUUGAGGAAGCGUGUUCAGUUGCCGUUGGUGAGAUUCAGUUGUUAACGACACGCAGUGAGCGCGGAGCGUUGUGGGUACUUUUGUUGCUGCGAUACAAGAAAUUUGGGAUAAAUUUAUACAUAAAUUGUGGAAAAUAUUACAGACCCUACGAAAUUUGUACCGUAGAUGAACAAAUAGUAAUAGCUUCAAAGGUAGAUGCAUUUUCAAAGUGUAUUUAUCGAGCAAGCCUGAUCGUUAUGGUAUUAAAUUUUUUAUGUUAAAUGGUUCUAAAACGUCGUACACGAUGAAAGCUGUGCCAUAUCUAGGAAAAACAACGCAACGAAUACGUAACGAACCACUUCCAAAUUUUUUUGUGAGAUAAUUAGUAGAACCAAUUCGGGGUUCAAAUCGGACAGUUGUGAUGGAUAAUUGGUUCACCUCAAUUGGUUUAUUUCAAAUACUCCUUGACGAAUAUAACGUGAAGGCAAUAGGUACUAUUCGUAAAAAUAAUUAAAUUCCACAUAGUUUUACAGAAAAGGCAUCACCAUCAACAACUGAAUACCGUUUCGCAAAUAAUCAAACUUUAUUAUCUUAUGCUCCAAAACGAAAUAAAAUAGUUUUGAUACUUUCAAGUUAUAGUACAAACACCGAAAUUGAUACAGAAACAAACAAA